rnacentral:rRNA from 1 species
CCUACAUGAAGCUGGAGUUGCUAGUAAUCGCGAAUCAGCAUGUCGCGGUGAAUACGUUCCCGGGCCUUGUACACACCGCCCGUCACACCAUGAGAGUUGGCAAUACCCAACGUACGUGAUCUAACCCGCAAGGGAGGAAGCGUCCUAAGGUAGGGUCAGCAAUUGGGGUGAAGUCGUAACAAGGUAAC